CUGGGGAGAAAAUGUCCUCAAGUUUUUUUCUCUUUGCUGAAGAAUUGGACAAUAAAAUUAUUCAUACAAUAAUGGAUCUUAUUGUUUGAAUGGGAGAAAAACAACUUUCAGAAGGAUCAUCUCUAGUGGUCUUAUUGCUUAAUUGGACCAGCUCAAGAUUAAUGAAGCCGGCCCAGGGGAGUAAGCUGACUAUUGCAAUCGCACCGCUGAUACUGUAGUAAAAUUCACUUCGCACAUCAAUCUCACUCUCCCUCUUCAGCAUAGGAAACAGAGACUGGGGGUGGGGUUUACCCACUGCCACUGAAGGGAUCAUCUUCAGCUGCCAAUUUUUCACACAGGGUCUGCACCUACCUGAUACUUGAAUUAUUCGCUCGAGUCACAAAAUGAGAGCAAACACACCCGCUGGGUUGCGUAGUCAGAACUUCUGCGGGUGCUACGCUCUCCACCCUUCUAUCGGUUGAUGUGAUAUGGUGAGGACACAGCCCGCACUGGGCAUCCAGGGGCUGUUCUUCCAUUGUGCGUGCUCCGAAGGUCGCUAUCCCUUUAUGCGGAGGGAUCUAUUUACUUCAGUGGUCUUUUGAUGCCCUGGCAGCGUCAUCUGCUGCUCAUCGCGAAGUACUGAAGAAGGGCGGCUCCACACGCUUGCUCCCUACCGUCUACCCUUCUUUUGCCAGCAUUGUGAGACGUGUAUAACCAUUGGAAGCCAGAAGUGGAGGGGAAGUCAGAAGCAGCCCACUGAAAGAAAUACUGACUUUACAAAGAGAACUGAAGCAGGAGACCCCGGUGAUGGAGGAAGGACUCCAAACAAUUCAAAAGCAACCAACCAGCACCAGAUUCCACAGCCCCAGGAUCCAGUCUGCAGUCUCCGCCACAAUUCCUUUCUCUCCAAGAUGGUAAACGUGCUGGGGAUACCUGUGGACAGACACCCAGGAUGGGAAAAGCCUGCACGGAAUGUUCCUUGGCAUCGUGGCUUCCGCUGGUCUGCUCCUUGGCCUGCUGACAACUGCUCUGUGUGAUUCUGCUGCCUCCCACCACCCCACCUCCAAACGUGGAGAGCUGCAGCCGCCCUCUGGGGCUCCAGAACAGGUGCUCCUGCUGCAGAGUUCUGGAGGCAGGCGCUGUCCUCAGAAACCAGUGCCUUUGAAGCCACAGCAGUUGCUCUGUUGAUGGGGGACGUGCAUGAGACUUGAGCACAGAUAAAGCAAAGGCAAGCCUCCUUUCCACACACCACACUACACCCUGGAGGGGCCCCCAGCAUUUUGUGAUGAUCGCCAUCUUUCUCUGGUGGGUGCUGAGUAUCAUCAGCAUUUGUACUUACUAAGCAUCCUGUACAAGAAGGUGGUGCCCUAGGCACCUAGACAGGGUCAAGUAGGAGCAGCACAGGCUGAAAUGCGGACAGAACAGGUCCCUCUACCAGUCAGGACUGACCCAAAUCCCUAUUUCCUCUGUACAAUGGGGACACAGUAGCACUCAAUUCUGUAAGCUAAAGGUAAUACAAUUAGCUAAGUGAGAAUAUAAACAGAGCUCAGGACAGAGUUCUUGGCCCCUUAUUAACAUAUUGUAUUCAAUAUAUGUUAGUUGUAAACAUGAGAACUGAAAAGGGCAUGGUGGCACAUAACCUGUCAUCCCAGAACUCUUGGGAGGCUGAGGCAGAAGCACCCUAAAUUUAAACAGCAUUUAGUGACUUAGCAGGAUCCUGUCUCCAAAUAAAAACUCAAAAGGACUGGGGAUCCAGCUCUAUACAAAGGCUGUGAGUUCAAUCCCUCAUAUUAGAGAGAAAAGUAUUGGCUCUCUGAAGCUAUGCUAUGCAGCAUGGAUGCCUCUGGCCACAAUACAGCUGCUGAGCACUGGGAAUGUGGUUAGUGAGACUAAUAAUUAGUUGUUAAUUGUAUUUAAAUUUAAUUUAAUGUAAACACUAAUAACCUAGUUAGUGGGAAGAUUUUAAGCAUAUUUGGAAAAACUAGGAUUUGAAUCUACCUUUGAUUUGGAUUUGAAUCAGCUAUAAGUUUUAUGAAAUCAAAAUAAAGAUCAAAAUAUUUCUAAUGAAAUAUUGAGGGCCCAAACGGAGAUGUGCUAUGAAUAUAAAACACACUCUUGAGUUUGAAGAUUUAAUUUGAAAAAAAAGAAUAUAGCAUUUCAUUAAAUUUUGAAGUGUUGAUUACAUAUUGAAAUCAUACUACUUUGAGUAUAUUGGGU
rnacentral:lncRNA from 1 species